GCUGACACGUCACGCUCAUCAUUCUCACUAACACACCUUUUAACCCAACCAAAACAUUUGCCACAUCAAGUAUUUGCGACAGAAAAAUAGACAGACGCGCUAGCACACAGUACCGCAAGGGACCACUGAAAGACCAAUGAAACAUUCAAAGCACAAAACAGCAGGACCAAGCCCCCGUACCUUUCGCAUCAUGAUUUAGCAAGCACCCCCAGGCAAAGCGCACUUCAACCUGCCCCCCCGAACCCAGACGAGCUACCCCGCAGCAACCUUUUAGGGUUCACCCAUCUCUGUAGCAAAAGCGUGGGACGACUGCGGGGUAGAGGCGAAACACCUACCGCGCCUGGCUAUAGCUGGUUGCUCACUAAACGAACUUCAAUUCCGCUGCAGCAUGCUGCCACACACAACUAUGCUUCCGCCCGCCCCUGCAAGCCAUACAAUAAGGGUACAGCUUUAUUGUAAUGGGAAACAACCCACACUAGAGGGACACCACCCCACCUCACCACCAGUAGGCUUUAAAGCAGCCACCAGACAAAACCGCGUCACAGCACCCCGCGCCGCUAAUACCAAAAACCCCCGCACCCCCCCCUAUCACAAACUGAGCCACUCUAACCCCACAUUAGAGAAAAUACUGCUAAAACUAGUAAUCCAGAGCACGCUCUCUAUUGCACCCCCCCAUGCCACCAAACAAUUAACAGUGCCACAAAGCACCGAUAGUCUAAAAACAAGACACACUAUCACACAAAACUGUUACCCCAACACAGGAGUGCGAAAAAGACAGAUUAAAAAUCACAAAAGGAACUCGGCUAACGCGCCCCAACUGUUUACCAAAAACAUAGCCUUUAGCCCCCCAAGUAUUAAAGGUCCCGCCUGCCCAGUGAUCUAUUUCAACGGCCGCGGUAUCCUAACCGUGCAAAGGUAGCGUAAUCAUUUGUCCCUUAAAUGAGGACUUGUAUGAACGGCCAAAUGAGGGCUCAACUGUCUCCUGUGAUUAAUCAAUGAACCUGAUCUCCCAGUACAAAAGCUGGAAUAAGCCCAUAAGACGAGAAGACCCUGUGGAACUUUAAAUAUAAGCACUACCCACACACCACUGCCACCAAGGCACCACUACAAAAAAUAGCGCACAUUUUUAGUUGGGGCGACUUCGGAAAAUAAAAAAACUUCCAAGAUAAAAACUAACACCAUAUCUAGGCCAACAAGCCAAACUAAUACGCACACACGACCCAGUACCACUGAUCAACGAACCAAGCUACCCCAGGGAUAACAGCGCCAUCCUUCUUAAGAGCCCCUAUCGCCAGAAGGGUUUACGACCUCGAUGUUGGAUCAGGACAUCCUAGUGGUGCAGCCGCUACUAAGGGUUCGUUUGUUCAACGAUUAACUGUCCUACGUGAUCUGAGUUCAGACCGGAGCAAUCCAGGUCGGUUUCUAUCUAUGCAUGCCCCCCUCAGUACGAAAGGAACCGGAGAGCGGCACCAAUAGCAAAAACCCACGUGCCAAAAACGAAUUCUGCACACACACUAAAGAAUCAAAUAUCACUCAGCCCGAGACAAGGGCACAA
rnacentral:rRNA from 1 species